CAGCCGCCGCGGGAAUACGAAGGAGGCAAGCGUUGCUCGGAAUGACUGGGCGUAAAGGGCGCGUAGGCGGUUUUGACAGUCAGAUGUGAAAUUCCUGGGCUUAACCUGGGGGCUGCAUUUGAGACGUCAAGACUAGGGUGUGAGAGAGGGUUGUGGAAUUCCCAGUGUAGAGGUGAAAUUCGUAGAUAUUGGGAAGAACACCGGUGGCGAAGGCGGCAACCUGGCUCAUUACUGACGCUGAGGCGCGAAAGCGUGGGGAGCAAACAGGAUUAGAUACCCCAGUAGUCCCUGUCUCUUAUAC
rnacentral:rRNA from 1 species